rnacentral:lncRNA from 1 species
UACUAUCUAGUUUCAGAUUUUUUUUUUUUUUUUGGUACUGGGGUGGUGGAACCCUGGCCUCCAUCAUACUAAGUAUGUGCUCUAUCCCUGAGUGACACCCCAGCCCCAGAACUUUUUCAUCACCUCAAGGAACUUAAAUUUGAAGGAAGAUUUAUCUAGCUCCAAACCCGUGCACUAUGUCUGUAAUUUUUAUAGCUUGAUGAAGAGCUGGAUCCUGUGGCAUAAACAGGAAGUGCAAAAGGGAUUCAGAAAGGGAGUGUUAAUGUAGACUUUGGGCUCCCUCCACUAACUAGGAAAGUCUUUGGAAUGUGGAAGUUUCAAUGAGAGGUCAGGUUCAGAGAGAGGAGGAGCGCGGGCUUGACAUUCUGGGCAGGGAAAAUGGUACAAGUAAAGAAAGAGGGAUGGGAGCAGAGAAAGGGAGGGACACUUUCAGUGAUGACUGCAGAAAUUUCUGUACAGGUGGAGUUUCAGAGAGGCAUCAGCCUUCAGAAGAUGGAGAUGGCAGGAGGCUCAGGGACUUGUUUUGAAUUGAAACCCUCUACUUUUAUUUUAAUCAUGUUUACUUGGAGGCUCCACCAAAAUUCUACCCAUCUUGACACCACCAUUGUGCAGACGGUCGGUGCUCAGUGAAGAGUGGUGAACUAGAAAUUCGACAGGACAUAGCUGUCACCAGCAUGAAUCCACAAAUUACUGAUAGCAUGUUGUCCUAUCACCUCUGUUUACAGAUGUUGCUUGCUUAUGAGGUUUAAAGACUGAAGCCCCACAGGCAUGGUGGCUUAGGCAGGAGAAUCUCAAGUUCAAGGCCAGCUUCAGCAAUAUAGUAAGGCCCUGAGCCACAUAGUGAGACCCUGUCUCAAAAUAAAAAAUAGAAAGGACUUGGGGAUGUAGCUCAGUGGUUAAAGCGCCCUGGGUUCAACCCCCAGUACUCACCUGUGCACAGACACACAAAAAGAAUGAUUCCUCUGAUUCCCAGAACCACAUGCUUCAACUGUCAUCCAUGUGACCACAGAGCUGUCACUUCCUGAGAGGACCUCCAAGUGAGUUCCAUAUAGUUCUGGCAUUGUGGUGACACCCUGGAUGGAUGACCUUGGAUUCAUUACAAUGAUCCAGUGAGGUGGCAUACUGAUCUCUGGAAAUCUCCCUUGUGAAAGCUCUAAUGACAGCAUGCAUGCCACACCCCCAUCACCCAGCCUAGUACACACCCAAACCCCAGUCCUGCCAGGGAGAAGGUGCCUUUAUAGCAUGAACUCCUUUACUCCAUUCAUUCAUUGGCCCUUGAAUAAAAUGUCCUGCCUGCUCCCGGGACUGUUUGGUUAUUUAUAUGCAGUAUUGAGCAGAAAAGAGGGUGCAUGUGUGUGGAAGCUCCAGCAGAGGAGGCAGAGUUAGGACAUGGGGAAGAGCUUGGAUCUUAAAAUAGGUUAGGCAGUGCUGGGGACAUAGCUCAGUGUAAAGUAUUUGCCUAGCAUGUGAAAGGCCUUGUGUUCAAUCUGCAGCACUGCCAAGAAGAAGAAGAAGAAAAGAAGUUAGGCAACAGAGAGCCAUUGCAAGUUCUUGAGCAAUGACCACAUGGUGUGAUGAAAUUGGGAUUU